rnacentral:lncRNA from 1 species
AUACAAAUUAGUUUACUACUAAUACAAAAAUAUUCAUAGCUUUACUAAGAUUAAACAAAUAAGUAAAUAAAUACGCAAUUAAAUGAAAAUGGUUAUUUGUUUAAUCUCCACAUCCUACUUCUUUAAACUAUCCGAUCUUAUAUACCUUCAAUAAUCAUACAAAGUUAUGGCUCAUAUUUCUUUGACCAACAUUAACUAGGAUCUUAUGUAACAACUUAAUAAUCCGUGAAUCACUAUCCUCACCAAGCAAGAUUAUAGGAAACGUCCUAUUUAAAUUAUCUAUUAAGCAUAACUAAAUAGGCAUACUUUAACUAAUCAAUUCUUAGCACGAAUUGAAUUUAUAACUCAAUACACUAUAGCCUUUGCUACUCAUUAAGCAAAAUUUAACCAAAAUAACUAAACUAGCUGCUGCCUCAACAGUAAUUAAAAAUUCAUAUAUAUGAACUUAAUUAAACCGAAAACUACAAUUUCUCUAAUCACAAGUUGUUGNNN